rnacentral:SRP_RNA from 1 species
GCUGGGUGUGGUGGUGCACACCUGUAAUCCCAGCUACUUGGGAGGCUGAGGUCGGAGGAUCGCUUGAGCCCGGGAGACGGAGGUUGUAGUGAGCUGAGAUUCAGCCACUGCACUCCAGCCUGGGUGAAAGAGCGAGACCCUGUCUCGA